GUUAAAUAAAGGUGUUCUCAACUAGCCUACCUGGUUAAAUAAAGGUGAAAUAACAAAAUCAAAAUAUUCAGGGUGAACAGAAUAGAGAUGAAGGGAAGACACAGUGUUUCUCUCUUGCCCAGUCUGAGGAUGGUAGUGUGUGAACCUGUCCAGAUUGGUUAAUGGGACAUUAUUCACUGGCCUCUUGAAUAGAGAAGUGUGAUUUGUUUUCAUGGCAGGGAGCAGAGGUUCAUGGAGAUGAAAAGGACAUAACCUACGGUGAGGAGUCAGGACGGGUGGCUGUUCCUGUUCCCUUUCCCGUUCCCGUUCCGUUUCUGUUCCUGUCCCUGUACCUGUUCCUGUUCCUGUUCCUGUUCCACCAUGGAGUUGGCUCCUUCAGAUCUGUCUGGAUCGCAAACCUUCCCUCGACUCAGUGGGCUUCACAACUUCGUAUAAGGAAAUAUCAGGGCCUGUUGAGAUCUGUGGAAAGUACAAAGUUCAGGGUGACACGUUUCCAAAUCAAACGUGCGAGUGUUGCUGUAAUGGACGAUAAUAGAUGAAUGGACAGACAGAACCAGACUCGGGCCUGACGGAGCUGUUUAACCCCCAGCGCUCUUCAAUUUACCAGGACAAGCACCUUGAGCUCCGGCACCGCGUCGACACAAAACGCCUUGGAAGGCACGGCAGGGGGUUG